CUAGAUUUGGAAAUCUCUGUCUACGUGUAUGAAAGGAGGGAAGCAGCUAUAAAUUAGAAAGGAGAUAGGAAAGUGAAGAUAUUUACUAGACUCUGCCUUUGCUUGCAGUUCUCUGGCUUGAUUGAGGAGGUUCUCACUUUCAUCUUUAUGGGACUUUGGCUAAAAAAAUAAACUGUCAAAGGAACUGGCAUUUGCUGACUGGACUACAGCACAUCUCGAAGAAUCUGCAGACUGAAACCUUCAAGGCAUUCAUGAAAUGGUCUUCCCUUAGUUCCCCUGCCUUUUCCACUCUUUCUGCCAUUUGGAUUUCACACUGGAAGUUCAAGAGAUGACAUCAGAAAACAGAAAAGCCAGUGGGAAAGGCAAGGAGAUUUGGAAGAGUGUUUGAAAAUUUUGGCAAUCAAGAAUAAGAAGAAAGCAGGAAGCCAAGUCACCAGGCAGAACUGAUAGCAUGGGAAGUGGGUUCCCACCAGUCGCAUGCAGCUGCUCUGGUAUGGCCAUGGUGCUGGGGAUGAGUCAGAAAUCUCAGUCUUUUCUGGCUUAAAGAAAAGGAAGAAUGGAACCCAUCUUCUCCAGAUAUGUUGUUAUGGGGUAGGUGUAGGUCUAGAGACAGAAAAGAAUCACAUUUGAACAUCCUCUUAAUGCAAGAACAUUUUUAAAGAAACAAUUUUCCCUGAAUAUCCAUCAAGCCUAAUACAGUGUGACUAUCUGAGAUCAAUUAUUCUUAUCUUUACAAAGACUGGGAGUUAUACAGCAAAAGCAAUACUGUAAAAUAUGUGUAUUAAAAUAUGUAAAAGAAGGGAGUUG
rnacentral:lncRNA from 1 species